rnacentral:rRNA from 1 species
UACAGAGACUGCAAGCGUUAUUCGGAUUCACUGGGCGUAAAGGGUGCGCAGGUGGCCAAGUGUAUGAGGCGUGAAAGCCCGGGGCUUAACCCCGGAAUUGCACCUCAAACUACAUGGCUAGAGCAUUGGAGAGGGUAGCGGAAUUCACGGUGUAGCAGUGAAAUGCGUAGAUAUCGUGAGGAACACCAGAGGCGAAGGCGGCUACCUGGACAAUUGCUGACGCUCAGGCACGAAAGCGUGGGGAGCAAAAGGG